UACAGAGGGGGCAAGCGUUGUUCGGAAUUACUGGGCGUAAAGGGCGCGUAGGCGGCCUGUUAAGUCGAACGUGAAAUCCCCGGGCUCAACCCGGGAACUGCGUCCGAUACUGGCAGGCUUGAAUCCGGGAGAGGGAUGUGGAAUUCCUGGUGUAGCGGUGAAAUGCGCAGAUAUCAGGAAGAACACCCGUGGCGAAAGCGGCUCUCUGGAACGGUACUGACGCUGAGACGCGAAAGCGUGGGGAGCGAACAGG
rnacentral:rRNA from 1 species